rnacentral:miRNA from 1 species
GGAAGGAGGAGAUGCUGGUGCUGGUGGUGCUGGUGGUAGUUGUGAAGCUCCUUGUGUUGGGAACGAAUAUCUCUCCUGCUGUCAUCAUCAUCAUCAUCAUCAUCAUCACAU